rnacentral:misc_RNA from 1 species
AAGUCGUAACAAGGUUUCCGUAGGUGAACCUGCGGAAGGAUCAUUAUAGUAUUCUAUUGCCAGCGCUUAAUUGCGCGGCGAUAAAACCCUUACACACAUUGUCUUAGUUUUUUUUGAACUUUGCUUUGGGUGGUGAGCCUGGCUUACUGCCCAAAGGUCUAAACACAUUUUUUUUAAUGUUAAAACCUUUAACCAACAGUCAUGAAAAUUUUUAACAAAAAUUAAAAUCUUCAAAA